AUUGGUGGUGUAGGGGUAAAAUCCGUAGAGAUCACCAGGAAUACCCAUUGCGAAGGCGAUCUGCUGGAACUCAACUGACGCUAAUGCGUGAAAGCGUGGGGAGCAAACAGGAUUAGAUACCCUGGUAGUCCACGCCCUAAACGAUGUAUACUAGUUGUUGCUAAGCUAGUCUUGGCAGUAAUGCACCUAACGGAUUAAGUAUACCGCCUGGGGAGUACGGUCGCAAGAUUAAAACUCAAAGGAAUAGACGGGGACCCGCACAAGCGGUGGAGCAUGUGGUUUAAUUCGAAGAUACGCGAAGAACCUUACCCGGACUUGAUAUCUAACAAAUCAUCUAGAGAUAGAAGAGUGUCUGCUUGCAGAAAUGUUAAGACAGGUGCUGCACGGCUGUCGUCAGCUCGUGUCGUGAGAUGUUGGGUUAAGUCCCGCAACGAGCGCAACCCACGUCAUUAGUUGCUAACAGUUCGGCUGAGCACUCUAAUGAGACUGCCUUCGUAAGGAGGAGGAAGGUGUGGACGACGUCAAGUCAUCAUGGCCCUUAUGUCCGGGGC
rnacentral:rRNA from 1 species